AUUAAGGUGGUUGAUUAAAGACUGUAAAUUGUAAAUUUGCUUAUGGAUGAAUAUAAUCCUCUUAAUA
rnacentral:tRNA from 1 species